AGCGAUUUCUGAUCGGCCCGCUCCAUAAUAGCCCAUCACUAAACCCUAGCUUCCUUCAUUCUUCUCUAUAUAAAGUACCUUCGUCCCCAUCAAGCUCAAUCACUCGUUCAUCUGAUCUAGGGUUUAACAGCUUUCUCUUUCUCCAUAAGAUGCUGUGAUGAAAUUUUUUGGUGUCGGAGACUUUUGGUCGUUGAUGGUUUACACAACCCUCUAAGAAGUUCUGAGCACUAUUUUGUUUUCAAUUUUAACUCAAAUAUAUUGUGUGUUUAGUUAGUGUUAAUAAUUAAUUGCUAAUUAAUUUAUGUUGAGGAGGAAUGAAGUGAUGACAGACUUCAUAUGUUAAUUCACUGAAUUACAUUUUUUAUGAUGUAAAGAGUGAAUCCCGACAGGUUCUGAUCGUUUAUUAAUAAUUAAUCCUCCAUUAAAUGUGAUUCUGUGGUGUUAAUUUUUGUAAAAUUAUAGUCUUGUGGGCAAAUGAUGAAAUUUUAUAUAUCGUAAAUGGGUAAUUUGCGUCUGAAUCUUUCUUUGAUGCUAUAACCUUGGAGAACUGAUGCCCCCUUUUUUAUUUUUUUACUUUGUAGUAUUCUCUUAUGUUUGCAUUUUGUUUUAAGAAAGCCAAUUAGCAGAGCAAGGGUGUCUUUCAAAAAUGACACACAUUUGCAUUGAAGGUUGGCUAUAUUUAUAGCGAUUCUCCGUGCCUUUCAAACUUUCUUCUCGUAUUGAUUAUGGCCUCGAACAAAUUGCUACAUUUUCCCUUCAAUUUUCUCUAAAUUUGGCUUGAAAAUAAUGACUUGAUCCUGACAAUGAGGUUAUAUUAUCUAAUUUUAAUCAAAGUUCUUUAAUUAUCUAUAAACUGUUAAAUUUGUGAGCUUUUCAUUUUUUGUGCACAACUUGGUUUGGUUGAUGUCAUUUACUGUGAUGCACAUUUGCCCUUCAUCUUGGACUGCACUUGAUUGUAUUUAUUUGUUUUAAUGUUGUUGGCCGAUGAUUAAAUUUCUUUUAUAGACAAGCAUAUGACUGAAUUUUCGUCAUGUUGAAAGCCUAAUCUUCUCUAUGAGGCCAAUUAUAUAUUUUCCUCUAGCUUUAAGCUUUUGGUGUUCAAUAGUACAAAAAAUGUUCUUAUUUUUGGUGCUGUUAUUAUUAAAUCAAUGGGUCAUAUGAUGAUUUGAAGCAUAGUUCAGAUGAAAUCUUUGUGAUUAUAAACAAUCUUUUUAGUCUUUCGCUCCUAUCUGAUGACUCUUUUUAUUUGUGUUAAAAAUCUUAUCUUUAGGUAAUUUAUUGCUAAUAUUUUUUUUUUGAAAAUUGAAAUGGUUAAUGGACUGUGACGACUUAUAUCUACUGGUCUCGUUCGUCGUAAUGGUGUUAAAACCACCUUGCCGACCAUCCUGAUAUAUCACCACCCAUAAACUGAGUCCUAUUAUUAAACUUUUUAUGUUAAUUCACAUUUUCCUGAUGUAUUUAGUGAUAAUUUUUCGAGUUUUUAAAAUUUGUUUUUCCUUUUAUGGUGCCUUGAUGAAAAGUUCAUGUGUCGGAGACUUUUUGUCUGUGAUGGCUUACACUACCCUCUAAGAAGUUCUGAGCACUAUUGUUAUUCUAGUUUCAACUCAAAUAUUUUUAUUAAUUUCUUCCGAGGAUGAACGAAGUGAUGAUAGUAUUCAUAAGUCUGUCAAUCCUCUGAAAUACAUUUUUAUGAUGUAAAGAGUGAAUCCCGACAGGUUCUGAUCGUUAAUUGAUUAAUCUUCAUUUACUCGGUACUUUUUUUGUUUAUUCAUUUUUUAACUUUAGUUUUAUUGGCAAAUGAUGAAUCUUUUAUAUCGUAAAUGGGUAAUUUGCGUCUGAAUCUUUUAUUGAUGCUAUCACCUUGGAGAACUGAUGCCUUUUAAACUUUUUUACUUUGCAUUUGAGUGAAUUUGAUGGGGGUUUUCAUAUUGUAGAUUGUUGAUUGAAAUUGAACUAUUAAAGAAUAGGGUAUAUAAUAUGAUACUGGACUGUAAAUUUGUGCUUGGAUUGCUGUCAUUUGUGCAUUAAUGUACUGGUGGUCCUGCAUGUCUAUUGAUAUGGUGCCGCUCGGCAUGACUAAGCUGGUAAUGAAGCGAUUAAUGUUGGUUUUUGUAACUGACACUGCAACCAAUGAUGACAACCACUAUGAUCCAACAUCAGUAUCUUCACUACCAGUUAUACCAGAUGUACUGAUGAAAGAAUUUGAAUGCCAGAUUGAUGGUUUCUUUCAUAA